CCUACGGGAGGCUGCAGUGGGGAAUAUUGCGCAAUGGGCGAAAGCCUGACGCAGCGACGCCGCGUGAGGGAUGAAGGUCUUCGGAUCGUAAACCUCUGUCAGCAGGGAAGAACGGUCACUGUGCUAAUCAGCAGUGAAUUGACGGUACCUGCAAAGGAAGCACCGGCUAACUCCGUGCCAGCAGCCGCGGUAAUACGGAGGGUGCGAGCGUUAAUCGGAAUUACUGGGCGUAAAGCGCUCGUAGGCGGUAUGUCAAGUCAAGGGUGAAAUCCCCGCGCUCAACGUGGGAACUGCCUUUGAAACUGGCAAACUGGAGUGGGUGAGAGGGUAGUGGAAUUCCAGGUGUAGGAGUGAAAGCCGUAGAUAUCUGGAGGAACAUCAGUGGCGAAGGCGACUAUCUGGCACAUAACUGACGCUGAGGAGCGAAAGCGUGGGUAGCAAACAGGAUUAGAUACCCCGGUAGUC
rnacentral:rRNA from 1 species